UACGGAGGGUGCAAGCAUUGAUCGGAAUUACUGGGCGUAAAGGGCGCGUAGGCGGCCAGAAAAGUCGGAUGUGAAAUUCCGGGGCUCAACCCCGGAGCUGCAUUCGAAACUUUUUGGCUAGAGUACAGUUAGGGAAAACGGAAUUCCACGUGUAGCGGUGAAAUGCGUAGAUAUGUGGAAGAACACCGGUGGUGAAGACGGUUUUCUGGGCUGUAACUGACGCUGAGGCGCGAAAGCUAGGGGAGCAAACAGG
rnacentral:rRNA from 1 species